rnacentral:ribozyme from 12 species
GUUUUUUUUUUUUUUUUUUUUUUUUUAUGAUUGCUCACAACAAACAAAUCUACGUUACAAAACUGGUACUAAGGUUU